GCUGUUCCAGCCACGCCCCCGAGCUCUGUCAUGGCGACGUCCAGUGCUGUAGCCGGUGUGAGGACACGCUAUGCUGGGGUUUUUGUCUGCGCGACAAACUGGUUUGGAGGACCCUCUUCGCCUGCGGAGAGCAGCGUCUACACGGAGAGUUUUGGGACUGGAGUUAAAUAAAGACAGAGAUGUUGAAAGAGUCCAUGGUGGUGGAAUUAACACCCUUGACAUUGAACCUGUUGAAGGGAGAUACAUGUUAUCAGGUGGUUCAGAUGGUGUGAUUGUACUUUAUGACCUUGAGAACUCCAGCAGACAACCUUAUUACACAUGUAAAGCUGUGUGUUCCAUUGACAGAUAUCAUCCUGAUGUUCACAAAUACAGUGUGGAAACUGUACAGUGGUAUCCUCAUGACACUGGCAUGUUCACAUCAAGCUCAUUUGAUAAAACACUGAAAGUAUGGGAUACAAAUACAUUACAAACUGCAGAUGUAUUUAAUUUUGAGGAAACAGUUUACAGUCAUCAUAUGUCUCCAGUCUCCACCAAGCACUGUUUGGUAGCAGUUGGUACUAGAGGACCCAAAGUACAACUUUGUGACUUGAAGUCUGGAUCCUGUUCUCACAUUCUACAGGGUCAUAGACAAGAAAUACUGGCAGUUUCCUGGUCUCCACGUUAUGACUAUAUCUUGGCAACUGCAAGUGCUGACAGUAGAGUAAAAUUAUGGGAUGUGAGAAGAGCAUCAGGAUGUUUAAUUACUCUUGAUCAGCAUAAUGGAGAAAAGUCACAAGCUGUUGAAUCAGCAAACACUGCUCAUAAUGGGAAAGUUAAUGGCUUAUGUUUUACAAGUGAUGGGCUUCACCUUCUCACUGUUGGUACAGAUAAUCGAAUGAGACUCUGGAAUAGUUCCAAUGGAGAAAACACACUUGUGAACUAUGGAAAAGUUUGUAAUAACAGUAAAAAAGGAUUGAAAUUCACUGUCUCCUGUGGCUGCAGUUCAGAAUUUGUUUUUGUACCAUAUGGUAGCACCAUUGCUGUUUAUACAGUUUACUCAGGAGAACAGAUAACUAUGCUUAAGGGACAUUAUAAAAGUGUAGACUGCUGUGUAUUUCAGUCAAAGUUUCCAGGAACUUUAUAGUGGCAGCAGAGACUGCAACAUUCUGGCAUGGGUUCCAUCCUUAUAUGAGCCAGUUCCUGAUGAUGAUGAGACUACAACAAAAUCACAAUUAAAUCCAGCCUUUGAAGAUGCCUGGAGUAGCAGUGAUGAAGAAGGAUAAAUAUCAACCUUUAGUACCUUUGUGUGUCUGCUGAAACUUUUUAAAUGAGACCGUAUGUGUUUUUUUUUCAAUUGUACGGUCUAUUCCUGACAGCUAAAUUAACCCUAAAUGUGGGUAAUUUGUUUCCUCAUGUUUUAAAAUGAGGUUAAUAUUUGCAUAAAAUCCUAAAACAGACUUCUGUAUCAUUUAUUUAAUCCAAAUGUGUUCCUUGAAAGCAGUUGUGGCCUGGGGAAACCCCGAUUGCUACAGUACAAGUACACAGUCAUUGUACCUCAACUGUGACUUUCAGCAGAUUUUAUGAAAUACAAGAUGCAGUUUCAGAGGAUCACCAAGUGGAGGCCAUCAGCAUUGACCUUCUCCUACUUGCUCUACUAUCGGCCUGCUCAUUUCCACCUUCAAGAAUGAUUUUGCCAAGAAUGAGUAUAUCAAAAAUACUAGUUGAAAUGGUAACAUCAAAAUUAUUUUAUUUUUCAUCUAUUCACAUUUUGCAGUGAUUUCAUUUAAGUAACCAUUCUUUAGCUUUAUGUUAAACAUUUUUGGGCUCAAUAUCUCCUACAAUCCAAAAAGUUUAUCACAGGAGGCUUUUAACUUUGUGAACAUCCCUUGUUCACUUUAUUUUAAUGUCAGAAGGCAGUUUGCACUCAUGCUUGAACUCUCUUUCUAUGAAACUCAUUAAGACAUGACCAAAUCUUGCCUCAUCCAUUCAAGCAGAAAAUAUCCUUGAAAGGAAUCUGGCUUAAACAUGAAAUGUUGUAAGAAAAUUCCUAUGUUACUGUCUC